rnacentral:rRNA from 1 species
AAAUGGGAUAUCUUUAGUAAUUACGAAUGAACAAGGAUAUGCGUAGCUUGACAAAUGGAGCUAUUGGCUUUGAAUUGUAUUGUGGAAAUGUAUUACCAACAGAGGUGCAGGUGCCAGCAUAUUGAAAUAGAGCGUCAAUGAGGGUGAGAAUCCUGUUUGCCAUGUGCAGCCCUUUGUGCACGGUGUAUAUUUGCUGAGUCACACUCCUUGGCAUUGGAAUGCAAAGUGGGUGGUAAGUUUCAUGUAAAGGUAAACAUGCAACUGAGACUGAUAGCACACAAGUGCCAUGAGGGAAAUAUGAAAAGGUUUUUGAAAAGAUAAUAAAAUGAGUUUGUAUUUGCUGAACACAAAGUAAACAGACUUGAUUUGCUUGGUGGGAGUGUUGCACUUGCUUGACAAGAGCUUUGGGCUGUGUGUGUAAUGAUUCGUUCUUUGCAUGCCAGUUUCUAUGUGUACAUCUGAUUACCUUUGCACAUGAAUGAUAAGUCUCCUGUGGGGGGUGUAUUGCAUGUGCAUGUAAUGAUGUGUGUUUUGAUAAGUGUGUAUGGUGUAUGUGUUUGUGUUCAUGUGAUUGGGGAUGCUUCCUUCCUUGGACUUACAAGCCCUGACACACACAUGCU